rnacentral:tRNA from 1 species
GGGAUUGUGGCUCAGCGGUACAGCACUCGCCUAGCAUGUGUAAGGCCCUGGGUUCGAUCCCCAGCACCA